CGGCAGAAUGGAGUAGCUGUAAGUGGGAGACUUUUACUUUGACGCUCAUAGAGAGCCCUUGAAAUCUUGCGUUGGGUCCCAAAGUAUCGUUUGGUCUCAUUAGCGGUUUGCAGUACAUGAGUUGUAGCAUUCGCCAGGGCACCAUCGUCAAGUUGGCUGGUGAGGUCUAGAAGUCUUCAGUUACACUACGAGUGAAACUUUUGAAGCUUUGAAAUAUCACUCCAACAGUGAGGCGAAAUUACUAGCCUUCAACGUGCAUGGUUGUUGGUAUAGCUGGUAUCCGAGAGAAGCCAACAAGACGUAUGCGGUGUGCCCUCGGUGGUUUGUGUGGUCAGAUGCAAGCCGUACCAGCGGGGAAGUUGGGCCAGGAGCUGGAGUAAGCUAAUUGGCA